UCCCUUUUAGCUCAAUGGUUGAGCGCUGACUUUGGGAGCCACAGGCCGGGAGUUCGAACCCACUAGGAC